GCUCGGCGCGCUGCUGAUGGAAGGCAUGCGGCCCGAGAGCCUUUUCCUGGCGACCGCGCUCGCGCAUUUCGCGCUUGCCGCCUAUACGCUGCUUCGAAUCCGUCGCCGCGCCGCGAUCCCGCCGGAAGAGCGCGAGAACUUCCAGACCCUGCCUUCGGAGCGGAUGGCGACACCACAGGCCGUCCAUCUCGACCCGCGCAGCGACAGCGAGCGAAGCGAGGUUCAGGAAGC
rnacentral:misc_RNA from 1 species